rnacentral:misc_RNA from 1 species
GAUGAAGAACGCAGCGAAAUGCGAUAAGUAGUGUGAAUUGCAGAAUUCAGUGAAUCAUCGAAUCUUUGAACGCACAUUGCGCCCCUUGGUAUUCCAUGGGGCAUGCCUGUUCGAGCGUCAUUUGUACCUUCAAGCUCUGCUUGGUGUUGGGUGUUUGUCUCGCCUCUGCGUGUAGACUCGCCUUAAAACAAUUGGCAGCCGGCGUAUUGAUUUCGGAGCGCAGUACAUCUCGCGCUUUGCACUCAUAACGACGACGUCCAAAAGUACAUUUUUACACUCUUGACCUCGGAUCAGGUAGGGAUACCCGCUGAACUAAAGCAUAUCAAUAAGCGGAGGA